rnacentral:rRNA from 1 species
GACGAACGCUGGCGGCGUGCUUAACACAUGCAAGUCGAACGAAGUGGCGAACGGGUGAGUAACGCGUAAUCAACCUGCCCUUCAGAGGGGGACAACAGUUGGGAACGGCUGCUAAUACCGCAUACUGAAGGAGGGGAUUGCGUCUGAUUAGCUAGUUGGAGGGGUAAAGGCCCACGAAGGCGAUGAUACGUAGCCGGUUUGAGAGGGUGAAUGGCAAAAUUGGGAAGGAGACACGGCCCAGACUCCUACGGGAGGCAGGAGUGGGGAAACUUCCGAAAUGGACGAAAGUCUGAAGGAGCAACGCCGCGUGAGUGAUGACGGGCUUCGGGUUGUAAAGCUCUGUUAAUCGGGACGCGGUACCGGAAGAGAAAGCCACGGCUAACUACGUGCCAGCAGCCGCGGUAAUUC